CAAGUUAUUAAGGGUGCAGGGCGGAUGCCUUGGCACUAGGAGCCGAUGAAGGACGUGAUAAGCUGCGAUAAGCUUCGGGGAGUUGCACGUAAACUUUGAUCCGAAGAUUUCCGAAUGAGGAAACUCACUUAGAGUAAUGUCUAAGUAUCAUUAAGUGAAUACAUAGCUUAAUGAGGGGAACUCAGGGAACUGAAACAUCUAAGUACCUGAAGGAAGAGAAAGAAAUUCGAUUCCGUAAGUAGCGGCGAGCGAACGCGGAUUAGCCCAAACCAAUAAAGUUUUCUUUAUUGGGGUUGCGGACAUAUCAUAACGAAGAGGUAUCGUAAUUGAAGAGGUUUGGAAAGACCCACCACAGAAGGUAAUAGUCCU
rnacentral:rRNA from 1 species